rnacentral:rRNA from 1 species
UACGGAGGGUGCGAGCGUUGUCCGGAAUCAUUGGGCGUAAAGGGCGCGUAGGUGGCCCGGUCAGUUCGUGGUGAAAGCGCGGGGCUCAACCCUGCGUCGGCCAUGAAUACUGCCGCGGCUGGGGCACUGUAGAGGCAGGCGGAAUUCCGGGUGUAGCGGUGGAAUGCGUAGAGAUCCGGAAGAACACCGGUGGCGAAGGCGGCCUGCCGGGCAGUUGCUGACACUGAGGCGCGACAGCGUGGGGAGCAAACGGG